GGCAACCUCAAAGCCAUGUGCUGAAGAUGGCAAAGAACACUAUGGAAGAAGCCUGAGCCCCUGAGGAUCAAUCUUUGUUCAGAGAACCAUUUGAAAAUCAUCACCCUAAGAUGACAUAGGGAUUUUUCAAGAGCGUGGCCAGUCAUGGAAACAUGGACUAAAGGAAAAACAGAGGCCAUCAUUGGUUAUGUCUACCUCAGUAUCACCCGAGGAAGAGAAGAGAGAGAGGCAGAGACACAGGCAGAGGGAGAAGCCGCCUACAUGCAGGGAGCCCAAUGGGGAACUUGAUCCCGGGACCCUGGGAUCACGCUCUGAGCCAAAAGCAGAUGCUCAACCGUUGAGCCACCCAUGUGUCCCUCCACAUGGUCUUCAACAUUAAGGAGGUUUCAACUAAAGCUGUCAUGUAAAGAAACUUGGAGAGAAGUUGUGGAGAAAGAAACAUCUAAUCAGCCCCUUAUUGUUCUGGCCACUCAUGCUGAGUGAAGCCACCUUCAGACUUGUCAGUGAAACCAUCUUGAAUGUUCUAGUGCACGCCAAGCUCAUACUUGAAUUUAUCUGCGUGAGUGAUCCUAGAUACCACCACAUGGACCAUAAGAACCACAAGGGGAGGAGCUCAGCCAAUGCCCAGAACUGUGAGAAAUAAUACAUGUUGAUUUUUAAACUA